AUUGAACGCUGGCGGCAGGCCUAACACAUGCAAGUCGAGCGGAUGAAGGGAGCUUGCUCCUGGAUUCAGCGGCGGACGGGUGAGUAAUGCCUAGGAAUCUGCCUGGUAGUGGGGGAUAACGUCCGGAAACGGGCGCUAAUACCGCAUACGUCCUGAGGGAGAAAGUGGGGGAUCUUCGGACCUCACGCUAUCAGAUGAGCCUAGGUCGGAUUAGCUAGUUGGUGGGGUAAAGGCCUACCAAGGCGACGAUCCGUAACUGGUCUGAGAGGAUGAUCAGUCAACUGGAAACUAGGAACGGGUCCGACUCCCAAGGGAGGGCACAGGUGGGAAAAUUGGAAAAAGGGCGGAAGCCCUAUCCCGCCAUGGCCGGGGUGUGAAAAAGGUGUUUGGAUUUGUAAACCCUUUUAAGUGGGAGGAAGGGGCAGAAAGUAAAACCUUGGUUUUUUUACGUUUCCCAAAGAAAAAACCCCCGCCAAACUCGUU
rnacentral:rRNA from 1 species